CUACGGGAGGCUCCAGUAAGGAAUAUUGCGCAAUGGAGGCAACUCUGACGCAGCCAUGCCGCGUGCAGGAAGAAGGCCUUAUGGGUCGUAAACUGCUUUUAUUUAGGAAUAAACCCCCGAACGUGUUCGGGGCUGAAGGUACUAAACGAAUAAGCACCGGCUAACUGCGUGCCAGGCAGCCGCGGUAAUACGGAGGGUGCAAGCGUUAUCCGGAUUUAUUGGGUUUAAAGGGUGCGCAGGCGGGCUAUUAAGUCAGUGGUGAAAUCCCGGGGCUCAACUCCGGAACUGCCAUUGAUACUGAUAGUCUUGAGUUUGGUUGAAGUGGGCGGAAUGUAGCAUGUAGCGGUGAAAUGCAUAGAUAUGCUACAGAACACCAAUCGCGAAGGCAGCUCACUAAGCCAAAACUGACGCUCAUGCACGAAAGCGUGGGGAUCAAACAGGAUUAGAUACCCCGGUAGUC
rnacentral:rRNA from 1 species